AGAAUUAAAAAAGCACCUGUCUGAUAGUCCUGGCACUGAACAGCUAUCGAUUAUUUGCUACGCAAGCGCGCAACUAAUAGUACUGGACAUCGUUCUGUAGCAGACCGAAAUGCAGUGAGACCUUGUUUUGAAAUCUCAUCGCGGACAGCGCAUUGUUUUGGAGAUUCAGUUAAAAUGUAGUUAACAUAUAAAAGUAUAAACAUAUAAGCAGAAGAAAAAUUCUGCUCUUCUGAUGGUCGUCGUGUAAAUUUGGUAGUAAAGGUGUAGCUGCUUUCAGAUGGCAAACCUCAACCUACACCAAGAGCUUGCUGCAGAAAGAAGGAUGGGGAAGAAGGAGAACAAAUUGGAUGGAAUGGAUGUAGGGAAAUGCUGAACUGAGCAAAAGUAUUGAUCGAAGCGGACAUUUUUUUACUAAUGGACUGUUAGAAAGGACUAAUGAAAAUGAUAUCGAACUGGAAAAUAAAUGGGAAAAGGAAUCAAAGAAAAUAAUAUGGAAGAAGUAAAAAAUAAGGAAUAAUUUACAAUAUAGGAACAAAAUUAUAGAAGAUUUCAAAAAAAUUUACGUUGUGUAAUAGCGAAAAAAUAAGAAAACCGUAAGUUUCUGAAAUUAUCGAUUAAUAUUAAUUUAAAAAAUAACAGUAGAGAAUAAGAGAUAGGACAAAUCGUAGGAAUUGCAUACUAAUCUAACUAAUACUACUAUUUACAAUACUAUUUAUAACACGAUGCUUGUCGUGCUUGAUCCAAUGUGGAAGAAUCCACCUUGUAGUCACUACCUUUUACAUAGCUGUUUUGGUGAAGUUGCGUCCACUACACAAAGGCUAUGUUGGCGGCUACCGUUGCUUCAUUUGUAUUCUCUGAAAGCACACUGAGAGUUGCAUAAGAGGCUUGCUCCUCUUUUCUUCGCUUGAUCACGGCCGUUUGUCGAAAUCAUCGCAAGGGCUCGCUUUAUGAUUCAUAGCAUAUUACUUUGUACAGGUCAUUGCCCCUGCUCAUUCUAAGGCGUCGUGAACCGCAAUACUGGUUUAAAGAGUCAGCACAAACUUCUAAUGAUUUCUCAGCGCAGUUAUCUUUCGGAGAAACAAACAAAGCUGCUAAUAGCUGCCAGUAAAAAAAUUUCCCCGUAGGUGUUUCUUCUCAUCGUAAUCUGUGGUUACUCCGAAGAGCUACAUAGCUUGACUUCUUUCCACUUAUCUGCUUAGAUGAGAAGAACUGGGGAUCAUUUUCUUCAUCUUCUUUUGAUCCUCACUCACUGCCUGACAGCGUUUCGCUCGAUACCAGUAAUGUAGUAAACGCGACUCAAAUCGUGGUUCAACACCAAACCGAUUUAACGAUCUAAACAAAUCCGCGACUCUCCCAGAAAUAUGGGAAAAUUCCUCCGAAAUAUUUAACGGCGAACGAUAGUUUUGACUAUUUUUGACAUCGGACUUGAACAACGUCCUUAGAAAGUCUCUGUUUACCAGUUCAAGGUUAGUUGCCUCCAACUGACCUUUGAUCAUAAGUUCAUAAUCAACUUCUUCAGAGUUCAAAUGUUCAGAAUAAGGAAAUCUAUCCAUUUUGUACGUGGAUAUGAAGUAGUAUUUAUUUAUAUAAUUUGUAUUAGGUAUAAUGAAACGUAGUGAGUAUAUAGUAAGGAAUUGAUAAAAUAAAUGUAAAAAUAUGGUAAAGAAGAGCAAUAAACUUAUUCUACAAAAUAUUUAUGUAUUUACAACUUAAACCAACUUAACCAUUGAGCAAAUCCAAACUAAUCUAAGGGAAAAAAAAGAUGGGUGGGUAAUGUCUGCGACAUAACCGGAGAGAUGUAGAAUACAUAAGGAAUACGUUCUUCAAAUAUGUUGAUACUCAUUGGAAUUUUCGUACAAAAGGUGAUUUGGGCGAGGAAUAUUUCAAAUUAUUCUUUACGAAAAUGAUGGUGGUCCUGAAAAGGACCGUUUUUGUUGGCGUUGUUGGCCUUGGUGAGGGAGAUGGCUAACGGUGAAAUGAAUUGUUAGCAUGAGGAAGUCGCAUAGUACUGGCCAAUGGCAGAACAGAUAAUAAUUGAUUCCUGAAAAUCAAUUUUUCUUUAUUCAUGUAAAUUAUAAAUACUUACAAAUCUAAUAGAAGAUUCCUGGUCAUAUUUCUGAAUCAUUAGUGCGAACAUUGUGUAAUUUGGUUAAGUACAAUGAAAGUUACAAACUUUCCAAACUCGACCUUCUGUUCCUUCCGAAAUAUUGAAAUGGGGUGUAUAUAUUAAAUCGUUAGUCGUGGUCACAAUAAAAAAGAUGGGUGGAUAAUGUCCGGAGCGCCGUGAUUUCAAUUCGAGACGUUAAUUUAAAUCUAAUAAUAUUCAACAGAAUCACGUUUGAAUGGGAAAUUUUCAAAUAAUUCUCUAUGGUAAUAAUGGUGGUUCUGAAAAGAACCUUUGAUAUCGGCGUUGAUGGUGAUGCGCUGGAUCGUUGGAUAUAUUUGGCAUGAUAGUUACAUGCCUGGCGAACUGUUUUGUAGCCUCGAACAAAACGACAAGACUGGCUUCUUCGAGUACCAUUACGGCUGAACUUUAUAAGCUUAGCUCGACUUUGAAAUCCUGCACAAUCUCACGAAUCAGAAACUGGUAGGGCCAUUUUGUUUGCUACUAGCACGGAGCUGCACAAAAAAAUCAUUUAAUGCAGAUAGUUCACUGAGGCUGCCAAAAAGCUCGAAUAGAAGCAUGCGACUUCAACGUUUCUCUUAAACACAUGCAAUUGAAGCAACACUGAUCACUAGAGGGAUGGUGAGGGAUCACGCACAUUCGUUUUGGUAAUACUGAUAAUAGCAGUAGAAAGGAAUGGAAAAGCAGUGCACGAAACGAGCAAGAGGAUUAUUUAAAUUUUUGUUCCGUGUGCAAGCUACUUCUUUCCACACAACGUAUUAUGUUACUUGUUGAAAAUUACACAUCUUAAAAUGAAAGUUUCAGUUUAACUCUCACUAGAACACAAUUGAUUGGUCCUGAAAAGAACCGUUGCUUUUAUUGUAAUUUACGCCCACUCCCAGCGGACACUGUGAGCCGGUUUGAUUUCUUUUGCGAGAAAGUUACGUACUUGGCGCACUAUUUUGUAUCCUCAAACAAACCGACCAAGUAGGCAUCACUGGCUUCAUUACGGCUGAGUUUUGUA